GACGCUGGAGAGGUUAAAAAACCUGUUCCCAGCUUCUUCACACACCGACCUCCGGUGCUCAUGCUCUCUCACUAAAACAUACAUGUUCACUCACCCCCCUCGAUUAGCAUCUGCUGUCGGGAGGUUAGUGGAGUGUAAAGACCUGCUUCUUCCUCAGAGAGAUUUCUUUGUUCCUUUUUCUUGUGACUUUUUGGAGUGGAGUCGGGCCGGCAUGGCGUGGAUGAGACGUGCAUUUGGACCCAGCAUGUCAGUCUGUCUCAUCUGGACUUAUCAAGUGACCCAGGCAGCCAUCUACACACUCGCAGGUCCGUGUAUCUACAAAGAGGUUUCGUUUGAGCCUGGACAGACCUUCUACAGGGGUUGUAACAAGUGCUACUGCCACGAAAAUGGCUACUUCUGUCUCUCACUGAUGAAACGUGGUGUGAAGCCUACAGCUGGAUCUGGUGAAGGCAGACACACACACCUAUGCCCCCCUACAGUCAAAAUACACAAUUGCAAGACUCUGGCUGUGGACAACCUCUUGAAUAAAGUAGUUACCAUGCAGAGAACAGACCACAUCCAACCUUCAAUUUGUCAACUUGUUCAAUCAAAGAAGGAACCAAUUCCCAAAUUGAACGACCCAACUCCAAAAGUUUCAUCCUUCGUUUCAAUAAAUGUGUGUAGGAGGUCAGUGUGUGUGUUAAUGUUAUUAAAAAGUGGGACCGAAGGAUUCCAAAUGGGCAUAGAUUCCAAUUCUAAUAGAUUCUGAAACACAAGUACCAUACAAAGUAGCAACAUACUGACUGUACAGUAGUAUCCCAUCAUCCCAAUAUGAUUGCUCAGCUUCCUGCCCUCCUCCCCUUACUUUAGUGACCACUGAUCUUGAUCACACCGACAGCGUCAUUGUUUUUUGGUACACAAAAAGUACAUUCAUUUCCAAUGGAAAUCUGUGAUUGCCCUGCAGCAUUGCAGAGGCAGUUGCAGUGCUUUCUGUAUAAAUUUGAUUUGUCGAACGUAUCCACCAAAUCGUAUGCGUAGACGGCUUUGACGCAUACGUUCAAUUAAUUUAAUUAAUGCAUCACACAACACACUAACUGCCUCUGCAAAGCAAACUCAGCGUUCCAUUGAACAUUAAUGUACUUCUGGUGUACAAAAAUGCAAUGACCAUCGGUGUGAUCGAG
rnacentral:lncRNA from 1 species